UUGGAUAAUGACUGACAAACAAUAUACAUGUCUGGCCUAGACUGUGGAUUGGCAUUUAAGCAUGAAAAUGCCAGACUCACUAUGAAUGCCCAUUUGUCUUCAACCUCAAGUGAAGGAGGCGACAAACGCUCAUCCAACACAUCAUUGAAUGCUAUCUCCAUAUUGCCUGAGUGAGAUAACAUUGUAGAAAUCAGAUCACCAGGAUGCUUUCCUUUGAUGACUUCCAGUAUCAACACCCCAAAGCUGUACACAUCGCAUUUUUCUGUCACUUUCAUUGUGUAUGCAAGCUCUGGU
rnacentral:misc_RNA from 1 species